AUGUGUUUUCGUCGCCUGUCAGACUCCUUCGUAUCCCUUCGUCGGCCUCCCCUCCAUCCCACGCAGAAAUCCGCCGGCUGCUCUCCCUCUCCUCCACGCCUCGCACCUCCUCCUCACCUCGCCGCCGAGCCUGCUCUUCUCCACACCGCAGCUUCUCACACGCGAGGAAAAAAAGACAACCUCGCAGUGGUGAGGAAGCAACCCUAGCAAAUCCCUCACGACCUCACUCUUCCGCUUCCCACCGCGGCGAACUGCCCCCUUGCCCGCCUCCGGAGCGAGCGGUUCCUGUUCCGUGCGUCGUGAGAGCGAUGCCCCGGCCCGGGGGAGGAGGUCACCUCGCUGCCGCCCCGCCCUCCUCCUCACCGCACCGCCGCCCCUCAACCCUCGAUCCCCUCUUCUGACUCCGUCGCUUGCUGGCGAUGGGCGUUCUACGGCCGCGGAGGGGCGGCGGCGGCGGCAGUCGUGGAGGAGGGGCUGGAUGGGCGCGGCUCGACGGCCAGCGGCACCAGCCGCGGUGGAGGAGAUCGCCGGUAUGUAGAGCAGACGGACGGGAGGAGGACACGAGUACACUCUAGAAUCAUUGCGACCUAGAAGACCUCACUGCCGGGUGCAAAUCGGGCCGGAGUCGCCGGACGAGUCGUCUUCAGAGUUCACAUCAGAUGCACCAGCAAUGCAGUUAAGUUAUUGCAAAUCUUCUCUGACGCGAGAGAACAUCUAGACGUGAUUUAACUGUACGUAUUUUUCUCUCUGAUUUAUAACUGUACAAGUUCUUCUUUUCUCUAACGUCAAAUACUCAGUGCAAAAUUUCUGUUUCAACAUGGAGCAUUUCACAGUAAUUUGCUCCCACCAACAUCUAAUGGUUAUGUCUUCUUAGAAUGUUUUUGGUUAUUAGCAUGUAAACCGUCAGUUCAUCAGACUUCUUACUUGCUACAAUGCAAGAGCAUAUACUUAUACUUAUUAACCGCCAAAAAAAAGAGCAUAUAUACUUAUUAUGUCUUCUUAAGACUUGUCAUAAUUUUGUUCUGCAACUGAGGGAGGCAACAAUUUAUUUUAGUUCAUGGAUUGGAAUUUCUUAUCGUUUUGUUUUACUAUGUUAUUAAAAUUCAUGGUAACUGGCUUGCCCAUUUCAUGAUCGGGUGAAAUUUUGCCAGCUGCAAUGUUGACAUAUCCUGUGCUGAAUGAACAAUCAAUUGAUCACUGGAGCGUCACAGAGCUGAAGGCUGAGCUGUGUAGGAGAAACCUACCUAUCACAGGUUUGAAAGAUGAUCUUGUGAAAAGGCGCUUUGAGGAACUUCAGGGUAAUAUUCUUGGUGGAGAAGGAACAGGUGGUGGAGCUACCCCUGGUGAUGAUCUGAAAGAGGACAGUACUCCUGGUCCCUGCUGAUACAACUAUUGGCCAAGCUACGAUCGAGGUCUCCGCAAUAGUUAUGAAAGAUGAUAUGCCAGCCAACAUUGAAGAGCUUGAGAAGAGAAGGGAGCUGAUUAGAUUUGAUGACAGUCGGCUGUAAGAAGUAAAACAUCCUGGCAGUUAUUUCAGAAUCUAUGUUUGUGAUUUUGGAAAAUAAGUCCUAGGAGUUUCACUGUUGUAGCAUCGGCGGUUAUUUUGGUGUAUGAUAUAUGUAAUAUUUUGUAUAAAGUGUCAAAUUGGUUUGAGAUCACAGGCUAUUAUUUUGUAUUAAGUAACUAAUUGGCUUCAGCUUUUAAAUA